UACAGAGGUCUCAAGCGUUGUUCGGAUUCAUUGGGCGUAAAGGGUGCGUAGGCGGCGCGGUAAGUCGGGUGUGAAAUCUCGGAGCUUAACUCCGAAAUUGCAUUCGAUACUGCCGUGCUCGAGGACUGGAGAGGAGACUGGAAUUCAUGGUGUAGCAGUGAAAUGCGUAGAGAUCAUGAGGAAGACCAGUGGCGAAGGCGGGUCUCUGGACAGUUCCUGACGCUGAGGCACGAAGGCCAGGGGAGCAAACGGG
rnacentral:rRNA from 1 species